UAAGAUAACAAAGAAAAUGCUUGCCUUCUU
rnacentral:piRNA from 1 species